AUUGAACGCUGGCGGCAGGCUUAACACAUGCAAGUCGAGCGGAGAGAGGUAGCUUGCUACUGAUCUUAGCGGCGGACGGGUGAGUAAUGCUUAGGAAUCUGCCUAUUAGUGGGGGACAACAUUUCGAAAGGAAUGCUAAUACCGCAUACGUCCUACGGGAGAAAGCAGGGGAUCUUCGGACCUUGCGCUAAUAGAUGAGCCUAAGUCGGAUUAGCUAGUUGGUGGGGUAAAGGCCUACCAAGGCGACGAUCUGUAGCGGGUCUGAGAGGAUGAUCCGCCACACGGGGACUGAGACACGGCCCAGACUCCUACAGGAGGCAGCAGUGGGGAAUAUUGGACGAUGGGCGCAAGCCUGAUCCAGCCAUGCCGCGUGUGUGAAGAAGGCCUUAUGGUUGUAAAGCACUUUAAGCGAGGAGGAGGCUACUUUAGUUAAUACCUAGAGAUAGUGGACGUUACUCGCAGAAUAAGCACCGGCUAACUCUGUGCCAGCCGCCGCCGUAAGAC
rnacentral:rRNA from 1 species